AGCCAAUCAUCAACAUUCAAGACACAGCAAUCCAUUAACUAUUCAACUUUAAUUCACGCAAUUUUCAUAUAAAAUGGAUAAACAAAAUUAGAGAUACCAUACACCUCAGUCCUCAGAAUAUCUAGAAACUUCGCCUCAUUUUUUCGCUACAUGAGGGAGUCUCCCGCCUUCCAGAGACAUUUUACGGACUUACAAGAGAGAGUGAGAAGCUGAGAGAGGAGAGGAGAGGAGACGAGAGAGAGAGAUAUACCAUUCCGCCGUCUGUUCUUUACGCCGUCGCUCGUCAAGAUGUCAUACUCGAGGAGAUCAAGUUACAGAUCCCCUUCACCUUACUAUAAGUGCAACAGUAGGUCUGUCUCAAGGUCCCUGACUCCGUCAAGGAGUUGGUCAAGGAGCUAUGAUUCCAGUGAUGCUGAGAAUCCAGGAAAUAAUCUGUAUGUGAAGGAAAGAUCGAAGGAGUUCACCUUGUUGCCGAUACACAAACUAGGGAAUCGUGUGGGUUUGGAUUCGUGAGUAUGUCCUCUCUGAAGGAGGCGGAACACUGAAUCAAAUACUUGGACCGAUCUGUCCUUGAAGGCAGGGUUAUAUCUGUGGAGAAGGGUAGCUGUGUGUAGCAGCUCUUCACCAAAACUAACAAAUCAAAUCAAAUACAUCAGCAAAUCCAGAGGGCUAGACUACGGAGGGGAGGGACACCUACUCCGGGAAAGUAUCUCAGGCUGAAAACAGUUCACGGUGAGAUGAUCUGUCAUUGUUAAAGUGUUUAUCUGCAUGUGGAAAUGGAAAUACUAGGCAUUUGUUUUUGUUCAUGUUAUGUGUUGUCGUUCUAAUACGUAUGUGGAAAUGGAAGUACUAAGCAUUUAAUUUUAUUCACGUAGAGUGUUGUUGUUGUUGUUCCCCUAGCUACUCGUCUUAUUCUAGAAUCCAUUCGCCUCGUUAUUUGUCUGAUAAGAAUAGGAGCUGUAGCAGCUUCUUGCCUUGCAUAAGGAGGGAUGCCUUGAAUCCUAGCUCAAGGAGCUACUCUAGAAGCAUCUUGCCUUCUCGUUCGUCGAGAAUCCAUACUAGGAGUCCCAAUGCAUCUUCGUCCUCCCCAUCUGUGUUGUCUAGAUCCGUUAGUCCUAGGUGGUGGUAGCUCUCUUGUCGUAGAAGGGGUUUGUGUUAUUUAGGUUGAUUGGAUUAGGGUGUCCAUGCUCGCUAUUACUAUGUUGCUACUAUUUACUGGGCUUAUUAGUUAUUACUGUAUUUACUGAUUAGCUAUUAUCUGGGAUUUUAUGUUGCUUUUCCUAUUGAUUUUAUGUUUAAAUUGAACACCGCAUAGGCAAUUUAUGUCUAAACUUCAAAAUUUGUUGAUUUUAGCAUAAUGUGAGUAAUUGUAGUUAUUUUAUGAUUUUA